GUUUGUGUUUGAUUCCAAUUUUUAUAUUUAGUGUUUAGUUUUACUUCUACUUCCUCUGUUAUAAUUUUGAAUGCCUGUUCUUCGAUGGCUGUUUUUCUGUUUUCACUUUCAUUUGACGGUUUCGUUUCGUAUUCUGGUGUUGGUGUUUGAUUAGCAUUUUUUAGGCUUCAUUCGUUUAUUUUCGUUUGAUAUUACAUGGUUUCCAUAAAUGUUAAUUUGUUACUAACUUUUCUGCUUAUCGACGAAGUGCAUUAAUCUGUUUGCUUACCUUCUAAGCCUACUGUAAGUUUCCUAGAUCUCUGUGAUUGAAGCUUGUGCUAUUUUGUGUUAUUCUUUACAUAACUAUUUCUGCUACAGGCUAGAAGAUUCAAUACUUUUGUCGGUGAAUCUAUUUUAUAAACAAAAUUCUAUCGACUAUCACUAUAGUGUGAGUGUGAUUUAUCCAUGGUGAGAUGGGGCUAUAUAGAAAGUGACAUUUGACAAUCAAUGUUGGUGCAUAGGCAAGAUGUGGAACAACUAUAGACAUGGUGUUGCAGUUGUUAGAUACAUCACACUCAAACGAUUUAAAACACUUUUUAAAAAAGUAUAACAUACUUUAGAUGCUAAGGAAUCAGGAAAAUGGAGUUAUGUCCAGGCUGGUUGUAGCUGUCUGUGACUACCUCUAUUGUGUUUUUCUGAGCUACCUCAAGACAAUCCAUGAAGGGUUACAAGAAAUUGUUGGAUUAUUCCCUUGCAAUUAGGUACUUUAUUAGAGAUUAUUCAGACUCUUCUAGGACUAGAACAAAUGCAAAUGGAUGAAAUCAGGAUUUUAGGUUGCAACACUCUCACAAUUGUAUUAAAACUGAUUGUCUCAAACUAUAUUGGAAAAAGAAGGAACUAGAAUUUGAAUAACUAUCAAAGUUGAAAAAUAUAUGAAGGUGAAAGUUAAGGGAAAAGAAGGGAGAGCUUCAAAAAACAGUGUCCCUACUUAAAAGCUCUUGCUUUCUGUAAAAAUGAGAGGUAUAAUGGCACAGAGGAAUACAUUUGGUGGUGAUAGUCUUUCGGAUCUAACAUGGCUUCAUGUGAAUAAAUUUUCACUUUCAUUGCAAC